rnacentral:rRNA from 1 species
CGCCAGACUCCUACGGGAGGCAGCAGUGAGGAAUAUUGGUCAAUGGCCGGAAGGCUGAACCAGCCAAGUCGCGUGAGGGAAUAAGGCCCUAUGGGUCGUAAACCUCUUUUGUCAGGGAGCAAAGGCGUCCACGAGUGGACGAAAGGAGAGUACCUGAAGAAAAAGCAUCGGCUAACUCCGUGCCAGCAGCCGCGGUAAUACGGAGGAUGCGAGCGUUAUCCGGAUUUAUUGGGUUUAAAGGGUGCGUAGGCGGACUGGAAAGUCAGCGGUAAAAUCGAGAGGCUCAACCUCUUUCCGCCGUUGAAACUGUCGGUCUUGAGUGGGCGAGAAGUAUGCGGAAUGCGUGGUGUAGCGGUGAAAUGCAUAGAUAUCGCGCAGAACUCCGAUUGCGAAGGCAGCAUGCCGGCUCCACACUGACGCUGAGGCACGAAAGCGUGGGUAUCGAACAGGAUUAGAUACCCGGGUA